rnacentral:rRNA from 1 species
GACGAACGCUGGCGGCGCGCCUAACACAUGCAAGUCGAACGGAGCUUAGAGAGCUUGCUUUUUAAGCUUAGUGGCGAACGGGUGAGUAACGCGUGAGUAACCUGCCCUAGAGUGGGUGACAACAGUUGGAAACGACUGCUAAUACCGCAUAAGCCCACGGUACCGCAUGGCACUGAGGGAAAAGGAUUUAUUCGCUUUAGGAUGGACUCGCGUCCAAUUAGCUAGUUGGUGAGGUAACGGGCCCACCAAGGCGACGAUUGGUAGCCGGACUGAGAGGUUGAACGGCCACAUUGGGACUGAGACACGGCCCAGACUCCUACGGGAGGCAGCAGUGGGGGAUAUUGCACAAUGGGGGAAACCCUGAUGCAGCGACGCCGCGUGGAGGAAGAAGGUUUUCGGAUUGUAAACUCCUGUCGUUAGGGACGAUAAUGACGGUACCUAACAAGAAAGCACCGGCUAACUACGUGCCAGCAGCCGCGGUAAAACGUAGGGUGCAAGCGUUGUCCGGAAUUACUGGGUGUAAAGGGAGCGCAGGCGGGAAGACAAGUUGGAAGUGAAAACCAUGGGCUCAACCCAUGAAUUGCUUUCAAAACUGUUUUUCUUGAGUAGUGCAGAGGUAGAUGGAAUUCCCGGUGUAGCGGUGGAAUGCGUAGAUAUCGGGAGGAACACCAGUGGCCCAGGCGGUCUUCUGGGCUCCCUCUGACGCUGAGGCUCGAAAGCCUGGGUCGCCAACAAGAUUCGUUNCCCUGUAGUCCCAUGCCCGUAAACGAUGAUUAUAGGGGUGUUGGGGGAUUGACCCCCUCAGUGCCGCAGUUAACACAAUAAGUAAUCCACCUGGGGAGUACGACCGCAAGGUUGAAACUCAAAGGAAUUGACGGGGGCCCGCACAAGCAGUGGAGUAUGUGUUUAAUUCGAAGCAACGCGAAGAACCUUACCAGGUCUUGACAUCCGAUGCAUAGCACAGAGAUGUGUGAAAUCCUUCGGGACAUCGAGACAGGUGGUGCAUGGUUGUCGUCAGCUCGUGUCGUGAGAUGUUGGGUUAAGUCCCGCAACGAGCGCAACCCUUAUUGCCAGUUACUACGUUAAGAGGACUCUGGCGAGACUGCCGUUGACAAAACGGAGGAAGGUGGGGAUGACGUCAAAUCAUCAUGCCCUUUAUGACCUGGGCUACACACGUACUACAAUGGCGUUAAACAAAGAGAAGCAAGACCGCGAGGUGGAGCAAAACUCAAAAACAACGUCUCAGUUCAGAUUGCAGGCUGCAACUCGCCUGCAUGAAGUCGGAAUUGCUAGUAAUCGCGGAUCAGCAUGCCGCGGUGAAUACGUUCCCGGGCCUUGUAC